rnacentral:rRNA from 1 species
AGGGUUCGAUUCUGGCUCAGGAUGAACGCUGGCGGCGUGCUUAACACAUGCAAGUCGAACGGGAUCCAUCAGGCUUUGCUUGGUGGUGAGAGUGGCGAACGGGUGAGUAAUGCGUGACCGACCUGCCCCAUACACCGGAAUAGCUCCUGGAAACGGGUGGUAAUGCCGGAUGCUCCGACUCCUCGCAUGGGGUGUCGGGAAAGAUUUCAUCGGUAUGGGAUGGGGUCGCGUCCUAUCAGGUAGUCGGCGGGGUAACGGCCCACCGAGCCUACGACGGGUAGCCGGCCUGAGAGGGCGACCGGCCACAUUGGGACUGAGAUACGGCCCAGACUCCUACGGGAGGCAGCAGUGGGGAAUAUUGCACAAUGGGCGCAAGCCUGAUGCAGCGACGCCGCGUGCGGGAUGACGGCCUUCGGGUUGUAAACCGCUUUUGAUCGGGAGCAAGCCUUCGGGUGAGUGUACCUUUCGAAUAAGCACCGGCUAACUACGUGCCAGCAGCCGCGGUAAUACGUAGGGUGCAAGCGUUAUCCGGAAUUAUUGGGCGUAAAGGGCUCGUAGGCGGUUCGUCGCGUCCGGUGUGAAAGUCCAUCGCUUAACGGUGGAUCUGCGCCGGGUACGGGCGGGCUGGAGUGCGGUAGGGGAGACUGGAAUUCCCGGUGUAACGGUGGAAUGUGUAGAUAUCGGGAAGAACACCAAUGGCGAAGGCAGGUCUCUGGGCCGUUACUGACGCUGAGGAGCGAAAGCGUGGGGAGCGAACAGGAUUAGAUACCCUGGUAGUCCACGCCGUAAACGGUGGAUGCUGGAUGUGGGGCCCGUUCCACGGGUUCCGUGUCGGAGCUAACGCGUUAAGCAUCCCGCCUGGGGAGUACGGCCGCAAGGCUAAAACUCAAAGAAAUUGACGGGGGCCCGCACAAGCGGCGGAGCAUGCGGAUUAAUUCGAUGCAACGCGAAGAACCUUACCUGGGCUUGACAUGUUCCCGACAGCCGU